rnacentral:rRNA from 1 species
UACGAAGGGGGCUAGCGUUGCUCGGAAUCACUGGGCGUAAAGGGCGCGUAGGCGGUCUUUUAAGUCAGGGGUGAAAUCCGUGGAGCCUCAACUCCAGAACUGCCUUUGAUACUGAGGAGCUUGAGUCCGGGAGAGGUGAGUGGAACUGGCGAGUGUAGAGGUGAAAUUCGUAGAUAUUCGCAAGAACACCAGUGGCGAAGGCGGCUCACUGGCCCGGUACUGACGCUGAGGUGCGAA